rnacentral:rRNA from 2 species
CAAGACCCGGGCUAACUCCGUGCCAGCAGCCGCGGUAAUACGGAGGGUGCAAGCGUUAAUCGGAAUUACUGGGCGUAAAGCGCACGCAGGCGGUUUUUGUUAAGUCAGAUGUGAAAUCCCCGGGCUCAACCUGGGAACUGCAUCUGAUACUGGCAAGCUUGAGUCUCGUAGAGGGGGGUAGAAUUCCAGGUGUAGCGGUGAAAUGCGUAGAGAUCUGGAGGAAUACCGGUGGCGAAGGCGGCCCCCUGGGGACGAAGACUGACGCUCAGGUGCGAAAGCGUGGGGAGCAAAAGGAUUAGAUACCCUGGUAGUCCACGCCGUAAACGAUGUCGACUUGGAGGUUGUGCCCUUGAGGCGUGGCUUCCGGAGCUAACGCGUUAAGUCGACCGCCUGGGGGAGUACGGCCCGCAAGGUUAAAACUCAAAUGAAUUGACGGGGGCCCGCACAAGCGGUGGAGCAUGUGGUUUAAUUCGGAUGCAACGCGAAGAACCUUACCUGGUCUUGACAUCCACAGAACCUU